rnacentral:lncRNA from 1 species
AACAAAAAACCAAAUACGUUGCCACAUGAUCCUGUGAUAGCGACAAUGUCUCACACUGCCACCUUGAAAGCCAAUAGUUGGACUGGAGAAUAAUGUCCUGGGUAUUGCCAAAUCUGUAACUAAAAAGUACUCUGACGUUAUACAAAUAUUUAAGAAACUAAUAAUCAUGUAAUGAAGACCUUGAUGUUCUUCAGCCAAUAGCAAAGCUUUAGACUCCAGUGCUCAUUGUUGAGCGAGUGAGUGUGCUGCCAAAUUUAGGCCUUCUGAUGUUUACAAAGUUACCAUGGUAAAAAGCAAGAGAACCAACCUACAUUUGUUCAGGAAUUAAAGCAAUUAAAUGGUUCAGGGCACAUGUGAGUAUAGCUGCUCUGAAAAUGAGUGUCUUCACUGCUACAUUUGGAAAUUACUCAUUGCUUACUGCAUUUGGGAAGCUAGCAAGUAUGUGAUGCAACUGGCAACAUCAGUCAGAGAGACCAUUCACCUCUGCUGAAUCAUUUAUUUCAAUAUAACAACACAACACCUUAUUAUGCUGAGCAUCACCACGCUGAACUAAACUGAUCUAAAAUUAAAUCGAAGUCUUUGUGCAUGGUAAUGGAGGAUUAUAUUAUACAGAUACAUUACCUAAAUCGUUCGCCGGGCUGCUCAAGCGGUGGUGGUGUACAAACCAUAGAGUUGAGUUGUUGCGUGUGUGCGGGGAUUUGAUAGGUGGGGCGACCACGGCAUCGUCAAGCUGAAAAAAAUAUAACAAGCCCUUAACCGAGAAACAAUAGUCAUAUGAUGAAAUCUAUUAGCACCAUUCAAUCACGAAAAGAAAAGGCGUCAGAUGGUAUCUGCGGUUGCAUGAGAGGAAAAAAAAGGAAAUCCAAGCAGCAGUUGGAGCUCGGGCAGAGACCAAACUUAUAUCUAAUCCGGCCGAGCUGGAGCACUGUUUGUGCCUACACAUGGAUAGGAAAAAAGACCAAGACUUUGAUGCCUAUGGGUUCUUAAAAUUCUCACAGUGAAUUGGAUGGAGUAUAUAUCUAGUAGGAUUAAAUUAACUGAAUUAUUGGUUGUGCAGGAUUAAUCAAUUAACACUCAUAGUGGAUUGGAUGGAUGGAUAUAUGAAUAUGAACUAUGCACAAUAGAGAAAGGUCCGUCAAAAUAAACCAUGAAAUCACUGAAAAGUUUGUCAAUGCUAAUAAACACGAAAGAUUACCACCGGUUAGUGUAUGCAUUGGUAAAGGCGUGAGGUAUGAAUAUUUGCUAGAGGUACCUUCAAAUAGCCAGGCUCCUGAAAAAACAUAUUGCAUCUCUCGCCAUGUACAUGAGCAUGCUUCCUCAAGUCAGCCACAUUAACAAAGGUCUUGCCACAGUUGUCAUAGCUGUAGGAAGAGGAUCUUUAUGGAUGGUUCGACCUUGCACGACUGCGCCUUUGGAUCUUGCUUUUGUUGCCGCUUUCCUUCAGGUUCCUGUAGACAUCCUAUUUGAGCUCAUACAGAAUAUAUGUAGUUUGUCCGCAGAAGUCGACAUACAUUAUCCCCGGAAAAAAAUCCACAUACAGUAUGUAGUUUGGAAAAGAGUUAAGCAACAAUAUAUGUGAAGUAAAAGCGUAAGCAAGAUUUAUCUUAAUAAUAGACUAUGAAACAUUCUCAUUCAUCACACAACACUACAUAGCUGAAACUGGUGUUCACUUCCUCGACCACAUACCUGGUGCAUAUCACCUCCCCUUACUAAAAACUUCAUGAAGCACAUUAGAAAUAAAUUAAUAGUACAGACUACUUCUCAAUUAGGACGUGAGUGACAUGUAAAAGUUGUGCCUCAAAAAACUACAUGUAUCAAAGAUCUGUACUAAUUCAUCUACUCUUGCAAGCACUUAGUACUCACCUAGCAUACCUACAACAUCUACAUGAUCACACAGCAAGACAGAAUUAUAUAGAUAUAUGUAAAAAAUGUCUAUUGUGGGCAAGAGCUAUAUUUCCUACAGUAAACUGAUGAAUUGACAUAUAGAUGAGACCCAUCAGAUGCUUCAUAAGUACCUGCGCCAAAGUACGUUCAGGCGACGGCUGAUGAUCUUACGGCAAAGUCGGCGGAGGCGAUGGCAGAUUGUCUUGCGGCGAAGUCGACGGCGGCGAAGUCGACGGCGGCGAAGUCGACAGAAACGACGGCUGCGAAGUCGACGAAUACAGUAUAUUACAUUGACGUCAAAACCAAUUAAUCCACUCCACUAAAUACACCUCCUAAUUCUAUUUUGCUAGGUGCAUUAGUAUAUGUAUUCAUGUGUAUGCAAUUAUGCUAAUUGAUAACUAAAGAAAGAGCAGAAUAUAAACUUCAAGAGUUACUCCAGCAUCAUGUCCAAGAAUUACUGUAACCAAGUUGAAGCCACCAUGUUUAGGUAUAUGUAGUCAGCAACAUUAAAUUUCUUGCUUCAAUCCUUGGCUAGACAACAAUUUUUCAGAAAAAAUAUACUGAAACAGGGGCUUGUAUGGCCGAUUGGCUGAAACAUAAUGCAAAUACAUAAUAAAACAGACAACGUAGUUGGUGUAAAGACUCCAGUGCAUAUCAUCCAAACUGUAAUUGGAAGUAGCACCAAUUUUUCAGAAAAAAUAAAGGAACACAAACAAUGCAAACAAAGGAAAAUCGAUUGAAUUCAUCGAUCAUCCAGUGGUGUAACAACUAUUGUAACAUAAAAAAACAACUACUGUGAGGGGUCGAGUCAUUACAUACCUCUGAUGUAAAAAUUGCUCUGUACCAGCCAUGUGCUUUUAGAAGCCAUCACAAAUUGGUUCACAUAACAGAAGAUAAACGAAGGUUGCAAUUGAUCCCUGCUAAACCUGCUGUCUUGAAACUCCUGCACCACAAAGCAAAUAUCAGUGCACUUUUGUACUAAUCCAGACUAGAACAAAUCAAGAGAAAUAUCAAUUUUUCUGGCAAAGAGCAAGGGAACUAUCAUAAUCCUCCUCUGCCAGCAACCAGCAGCUUCCUCUGCCUGCAACCAUCGACUUCCUCCACACACAUAAACACGGACGCACAUCCAGCCGCACACAUCACACACAACCAGCCGGCCGAAGCACAACACAGAUGCCACAUAUGCCACACCCGGCAGCAUAUGUUGAGCCGCCGCCUGUGUGAUGCGAGAGGAGAGCGGGGCUGGUUGGAGAGAGAGGGAGGUGAGGGCGGCUGCUGAGACCCAAGGUUUUUGAGUCGAUGAGUCGGCGAGUCGCUCAGGGGGGGGCGACUCUAGACUAGUCGUGACUAGUCAUGACUCAUGGUCGACGAGUCGACAUGCGAUGAGUCGACGUGAGUUAAGUAGUAGGGAGCAGACCAGCGGCAACUAAGGGGGGAGCCGCAGCAGCAAGAGAUGGGAGGGGCAGACCUGCAGUAGCAGCAACCAAGGGAUGAGCAGCAGCAACCAGGGGAGAAGGGGACGAGCAGCCAGCCAGCGGCAGCGGCUGCUGCAGAAGAGAGCUGGGUCGGGGGAGGGGAGUGGAA